GAAAUCCUUACUCAGAAGUGUUCUCACUGAGGGGAAGAGAAAGAAUGUGGAGACAGAUGGAGAAAAAUAACAGAAGGAAGGAAGAUUCUGCCAAGAGAAGAACAAGGCCUCACUUGCUCCUAUUCUGUGGGUUUUCAGCUGCAGUUGGAGCACACUAAAAGCCUUCCCUCCAUAGCCCGUUUGAAAGGUUCUUGGAUGAGGUUCUUUUCCAGCCUUGCCCAGUGGGAAUACAAUGGAAAGGGCAAAAAACCAAGAAUCAAACUAAAAUUACUAUAGGAUGCCAAAGAAAGAGGGGAAUUUGGCCUUCCAAAUUGAGAAAAAUAUUAUCAAGCAGCAACUUUGAUGUGGGUACUACAUCAGACGGGCCCUCUUAGACACUUGGAUCAAGACUAAAAGAGGUA